CUGAGGAUGGAGAUUUGGGUGAUGGAGCAAAUGAGGGAGUCGGGGCAAUUGGCGAUGGAGAAACAGGUGACAGUGAUGGAGACACUGAGGGAGUCUUGGCAAUUGGCGAUGGAGAAGCAGGGGACACUGUAGGCACCGGAGACAAUGAUGGAGUUUUGGGUGAUGGAGAUGCAGGGGAGAUAGAUGGAGGGUGAGCUACUG
rnacentral:misc_RNA from 1 species